GGUCCUAACUUCCGAGGUACUCCUUUGGAAAGGAAAGGGAGACAGGUUAAUAUUCCUGUGCCAUCUANAUACACGCGGCAACGCAAGGUUAGUUUCUGACGCUUCAGGGUAUGCUAACUGCUCUUGUCUGGGUAGUCAAAUGUAUAAGUCUGGGGAGAGUUGUAAUAGCGAGAACCAGAUGAAAGCAUGAUGAUCCAUCCUUUNGGAUGGUUUGGCNGNUCUCUNNAGCCCGUGAAAAGGGAACUAUCAUGGAUUU
rnacentral:rRNA from 1 species